rnacentral:rRNA from 1 species
AGCCGGCAUGGAACCGGGGGACCAGUUAAGUGUACAAUGCCGGGGGAGGAGGAGGGAUGGGGGCGUGCUAUGCCUGCCUCCAGCCACCCGCCCUACGUCGUUGCACGGGGAAGCCAGCGCCACUGAGGCACUAGCGGAACCGUGGCGCAACGAAACAACCACAAUUUCGGCGCUAGAUGCGCCAAGGACCCAUAAGAAACAGGCACGGCCUUGGCUGCCCGGAGACGGAGCCAUGCCAGGGAAGCGCCGCGGAACUAGUAACAAAAACGACUCUCGGCAACGGAUAUCUAGGCUCUCGCAUCGAUGAAAAACGUAGCGAAAUGCGAUACUUGGUGUGAAUUGCAGAAUCCCGUGAACCAUCGAGUCUUUGAACGCAAGUUGCGCCCGAAGCCACUAGGCUGAGGGCACGUCUGCCUGGGCGUCACACAACGUUGUUCCCAACCCCAUUCUCGCUCCCUCCCACCGGAGUGGCGGGAUGGUGGUUGGGGAGGAAGUUGGCCUCCCGUGAGCGUGGCCUCGCGGAUGGCUGAAAGACGAGCCUGUGGGGGAGCGAUCACCACGUUCCACGGUGGAUGAGCAGAAAAUGGCUUGAUACCGAUCGUGCGUGAGUCGUGCCCCCUUGUUGGGCUCUUGGACCCUCGUUCGUUCUCCUAACGCGACCCCAGGUCAGGGGGGGCUACCCGCUGAGUUUAAGCAUAUCAAUAAGCGGAAGAAA